UUUUGACUCCAGGAACUGAUUGUAAAGGAGAGCUCCAUUCCCAGAGAACUUAAAAAAUUUUAAUAUCUGAAUAGAUUCCUAAUAAUCCAUAAUGAAGAACUGAGACUCUAAAACCAUCCAAGAGUUUCUCCAUUGAUCUCAAGAAUAAUAUGUGGGUUCCAUGGAAGUUUGAGAGAGAAAGAGAGAAGACCAAAGCAACAUGUGAUAUUGAAUCAGACUAGGUCUCAAGGCUAGGGAAAAAUAACCUGGGACUGAAGUUCAGUGAUAGAACACAGAUUGGUAAGACGCUGAUAAUAGUCUGAACCAGAAAUAUCUUUUUAAAUUCUAGUUAAUUUUUUACAAUGUCAUAACCAGGCCACAGAUAAUAACAAAGAAGAGUGAUGACAUCAAAUUAAAAUAUGAACUGAAACAACAGCCUAAAAAUGGAGAAGGUAUUUCUAUCCAAAGGAUAUAAGAAACU